rnacentral:rRNA from 1 species
GUGCUUAACACAUGCAAGUCAUGGGGACCCAGCAAUGGGUAACCGGCGAACGGGUGCGUAACACGUGAGUGACCUGCCGAUUUGUGGGGGAUAGCCGGGCCAACGCCCGGGUAAUACCGCAUACGCUCUUCUUGGGGCAUCUCUAGAAGAGGAAACCUCCGGGGCAAAUCGAGGGACUCGCGGCCUAUCAGCUAGUUGGCGAGGUAACGGCUCACCAAGGCUACGACGGGUAGCUGGUCUGAGAGGAUGGCCAGCCACAUUGGGACUGAGAUACGGCCCAGACUCCUACGGGAGGCAGCAGUGGGGAAUAUUGCGCAAUGGCCUAACGGCUGACGCAGCGACGCCGCGUGUGGGAUGACGCCCUUCGGAGUGUAAACCCCUGUCGCGUGAGACGAAUAGCCAG